CUUGAUUGUUUUUACUGUCUGUUCGAAAUAAAUAAAUAAAUAAAUAAAUAAAAACUAUGCAUUAUGCAAUGCUAUUUUUCCCAGGAACACUGUUGAAGUACUUUGGAGAACAACCAAACCUGCCCCUACUGUUUCGAAUGUCAGUGCCUCCACAGCUGAUGAUGCAGCAGGUUCAUCCACUGCACAAGCGACAACAAGGGAGGAGCACUUACAUGUGACUGAAAGCGAGGAGCAGUUACAAGCACCUACAUUUACUGAUCCACUGGUUUCAAACUCAGCCGGCAUGACAGGUCCUUCUACAUCUGCACCCACUGCUAUAGAUUUCCCAUCCACUGCCUCAACAAGCUCCAGCUAUCAAGAUGGAUCAACAGCUCCUCCAACUGACCCAGUUGAAUGGUCAGCAUUCCUCUCAGAUUCAGAAAGGACUGAUCUGGUAAGAAGAGGGCCAGCGCCAAUCAGUGACACCUCUACAUUCCCCAAGAGAUCAGAUGGAUGAAGCUUUCACUACCACUAUACAUACAGACAAUUAGUUAAUGGGGAAAAAAAUCAAGCGAAGCUGGCUAAUUUAUUCAAAGAAAAGUGAUGAUGUUUACUGCUUCUGUUGCAAAUUAUUUUUGAUAUUAAUGUUUGUCUAUAUUGGUUUUAUUUAAAAUAUUGCACAUUUA